AUUGAACGCUGGCGGCAUGCCUUACACAUGCAAGUCGAACGGUAACGCGGGGCAACCUGGCGACGAGUGGCGAACGGGUGAGUAAUGCAUCGGAACGUGCCCAGUAGUGGGGGAUAGCCCGGCGAAAGCCGGAUUAAUACCGCAUACGACCUUCGGGUGAAAGGGGGGGAUCGCAAGACCUCUCGCUAUUGGAGCGGCCGAUGUCAGAUUAGGUAGUUGGUGGGGUAAAAGCCUACCAAGCCGACGAUCUGUAGCCGGUCUGAGAGGACGACCAGCCACACUGGGACUGAGACACGGCCCAGACUCCUACGGGAGGCAGCAGUGGGGAAUUUUGGACAAUGGGCGCAAGCCUGAUCCAGCCAUGCCGCGUGCGGGAAGAAGGCCUUCGGGUUGUAAACCGCUUUUGUCAGGGAAGAAACGCUUCGAGUUAAUACCUCGGAGUAAUGACGGUACCUGAAGAAUAAGCACCGGCUAACUACGUGCCAGCAGCCGCCGUAA
rnacentral:rRNA from 1 species